UCCAGUCAAGGAUUGCUUAUAUGAGAGCUUCUCCUUCAACUGCUAUGGGUCCGACUGAGCAUUAGGUACACAUAUAUAGGGUUUUGGGAUUUUUACUUGUAUACCAAAUUUAUUAUUGUUAAAAAAAAUUCGCCGACCACAUAUAAAACCCCUGAAAUAUGAAUUAUGUUGAUUUUCGAGAAAUAUAAUCACAUUGAACAUGCAUUUUUGGAGGAUAUAUGUUCUUGUAUUCUUUUAUUUGGAUUAUUUCCACCUUUCUAAUAAAUGAAGUGUGAUUAUUAUGUAUGGAGCAGUCAUAUUUUCGUCUAGCAAUAUAAUAUUGUUGCUUUGUGUGGAUAAGUGGUGCGUUUGACGAAAAUACCCUUACAUUUAACACUCAUUUAACAUAAAAUCUUAAUGGAAGACUAUUGGUGGUCAAAAAUAAAAGUCCAGGUAUGUGUUUUGGUCGAAUUGGAAGUUGAGGAUUAAAAGGAGUACUACCCCAAUAGUCAGAGGACUAUUUGUGGUAUUAACUCAACUUAUAAUUAUAAAUACAAGCUCAAGGCUUAAUAACAACAGGGUCCGUGAUUCAUUUCUUAAUCACUUGACUAUUCCAAUAUCCUUCUUGUAGGAUGGGUAAAGGGCCACAUCCAUCAAUUGAUGGCUAGGGGUUGUUGAGCGGAGGUCAUUGAAAGGCCAAAUCCAACACCAUGUCUCUUGAAAAUGUGAUGGCGGUCUAUAAAAAAAAUAAAGUUGGGCUACUAGCUAUAGCUUUUGGCAUAGUGAUAAAAGCUUAUCCUAACAAAUGGUAUCAGAGUCAAGUCACGGGUUGGGGUUCGAGUCCAGCAAGAGCAAAAGACAGACUAGCAAGUGCUAUAGG